GUGGGGUUGUGGCUCAGUGGUAGAGCACUCGCCUAGCACAUGCAAGGCCCUGGGUUUGAUCCUCAGCACCACA
rnacentral:tRNA from 1 species